GGGCCUCGCUGGUGCCCGUGGUGCCUCCCCAGGCUGCGGCUUUGCAGGGGAGGGACGCCUGGUGCUGGCUUGCUGAGCCCGGUGCUCCCGGGAGCCCGCAGGCGCCUCGCUGGGCGGGCGGCCGUUCGGCCCCUGAGGGCUGGGACUGCCCGCCCUGGUGAUGGUGGGUUGGUGCUGUCACUGAGCUCUACUCACGUGCUUCAGCCACAGUCUCAACUAGAAAUGAACUAAAGCUUCAAAGAUCAGAUCAUAAUCCAUAUUCCCUGAAAGUCAGUGCUUAAACCUGAAUAAUUUGGAAACAUCUGAUCUGCAGAGGCAGCAAAGAGCCAUUGCAUCAAGAGAAACAGUAAUUUCAGUUAACAGAAAACAUGAACUGCUCCUCAAGGGACUUCUGCAAGAUCAGAAACCAGACUUUAUUUAAUCUGCUUGGCUGAGGGAGGGAGAGCACAGCAGAAACAGAGAACCUGGAGUGUCACUGGCGUCUGGGUCACAGAGAGGACACAUAUUGCAGAGCUUUUGCCGUGGAGAACUAUUUUCUGGACGCUUCAUGAACAGAUAGGCUGGGAGUCUUUCAAGGAAAACCAGCUUGACCCAAGGGGGCAUAGUUCCAUUAAAUAGUAUCAUCUGGGGGGUAAGGAAAGAAGAAGCAGAUGACGAGGGCAGAAUUUACCAGAACAAGAUUUGACCAGGCAGAGUACAUCCUAAUCCACUGGCUGAAUUAUUUU